rnacentral:rRNA from 1 species
AAUGAACGUUGGCGGCGUGGAUUAGGCAUGCAAGUCGUACGCACAGCUUCGGCUGUGAGUGGCGCAAGGGUGAGUAAUGCGAAGGUAACCAACCCUGGUGUUGGGCAUAACCGCGGGAAACUGCGGGUAAUUCCCAGCGACGUCGCGAGAUGGCAUCAUCUUGCGACCAAAGGUGUGAUUCCGCUCUAGGACGGGCCUUCGUGGUAUUAGGUAGUUGGUGAGGUAAUGGCUCACCAAGCCGACGAUGCCUACCGGGUGUGAGAGCAUGACCCGGCACACUGGAACGGAGACACUGUCCAGACACCUACGGGUGGCUGCAGUCGAGAAUCUUCGGCAAUGGGCGCAAGCCUGACCGAGCGACGCCGCGUGUGGGAUGAAGGCCCUUGGGUUGUAAACCACUGUCAGAGGGGAUGAAGUGCCAGAGAGUAAUCUCUUUGGUUUGACAUAGCCUCAGAGGAAGCACGGGCUAAGUUCGUGCCAGCAGCCGCCGUAAGAC